AAGGAUCAUUAUCGAGUUUUGAACGGGUUGUAGCUGGCCUCUCACGAGGCAUGUGCACGCCUGGCUCAUCCACUCUUAACCUCUGUGCACUUGAUGUAAGAGAAAAAAUGGUGGAAGCUUCCAGGAUCGCGCGAGAGGUCUUCGGUUGAACAAGCCGUUUUUCUUUCUUAUGUUUUACUACAAACGCCUCAGUUAUAGAAUGUCAACUGUGUAUAACACAUUUAUAUACAACUUUCAGCAACGGAUCUCUUGGCUCUCGCAUCGAUGAAGAACGCAGCGAAACGCGAUAAGUAAUGUGAAUUGCAGAAUUCAGUGAAUCAUCGAAUCUUUGAACGCACCUUGCACUCCUUGGUAUUCCGAGGAGUAUGCCUGUUUGAGUCUCAUGGUAUUCUCAACCCCUAAAUUUUUGUAAUGAAGGUUUAGCGGGCUUGGACUUGGAGGUUGUGUCGGCCCUUGUCGGUCGACUCCUCUGAAAUGCAUUAGCGUGAAUCUUACGGAUCGCCUUCAGUGUGAUAAUUAUCUGCGCUGUGGUGUUGAAGUAUUUAUGGUGUUCAUGCUUCGAACUGUCUCCUUGCCGAGACAAUCAUUUGACAAUCUGAGCUCAAAUCAGGUAGGACUACCCGCUGAACUUAA
rnacentral:rRNA from 1 species